rnacentral:rRNA from 1 species
AUUGAACGCUGGCGGCAGGCCUAACACAUGCAAGUCGAGCGAGCGGCGGACGGGUGAGUAAUGUCUGGGAAACUGCCUGAUGGAGGGGGAUAACUACUGGAAACGGUAGCUAAUACCGCAUACCAUCAGAUGUGCCCAGAUGGGAUUAGCUAGUAGGUGGGGUAACGGCUCACCUAGGCGACGAUCCCUAGCUGGUCUGAGAGGAUGACCGGCCACCCUGGAACUGAGACACGGUCCAGACUCCUGCGGUAGGGAGCAGUGGGGAAGCGUGCACAAUGGGAGCAAGCCGGAUGCAGCCCUGCCGCGUGGGUGAAGAAGGCAUUCGGGUUGUAAGGCACUUUCGGCGGGGAGGCGGUACCCACAGAAGAAGCACCGGCUAACUCCGUGCCAGCAGCCGCGGUAAUAC